rnacentral:RNase_P_RNA from 1 species
GCUAUAAGUCGCAAGACCCAAGGCAACGGAAAGUGGAACAGAGAGUAGACCGCCUGUCGGGGCAACUCGGCGGGUAAGGGUGAAACGGCGAGGUAAGAGCUCACCGCGUCGGCGGUAACGUUCGACGGCACGCUAAACCCCAUCCGGAGCAAGACCAAAUAGGGAAGCAUUAGGCGUGGCCCGCGCUGCUUCCGGGUAGGUUGCUUGAGCCUGUCGGUGACGGCAGGCCUAGAGGAAUGAUUGCCGAACCUCGCAAGAGGGGAACAGAACCCGGCUUAUCGGCCGGCUUUCCAC